CACGUAGUUAGCCGCAGCUUCUUCUUCAGGUACCGUCAUUAUCGUCCCUGCCGAAAGAGCUUUACACCCCGAGGGGCUUCAUCGCUCACGCGGCGUCGCUGCAUCAGAGUUGCCUCCAUUGUGCAAGAUUCCCCACUGCUGCCUCCCGUAGGAGUCUGGCCCGUGUUUCAGUGCCAGUGUGGCCGUGUGCCCUCUCAGGCCGGCUACCGAUCACCGCCUUGGUGAGCCGUUACCUCACCAACUAGCUAAUCGGCCGCGGGCUCCUCUUUCAGCGCAUUGCUGCUUUCCCUUCACAGGAUUAUGCGGUAUUAGCCCCGGUUUCCCAGGGUUAUUCCCCACUAAAAGGCAGAUUACCCACGUGUUACUCAUCCGUACGCCGCUGUACUCAGGGAUUGCUCCCCUUUCUCGCUCGACUUGCAUGUGUUAAGCGCGCCGCCAGCGUUGAUUCUGAGCCAGGAUCAAACUCU
rnacentral:rRNA from 1 species